rnacentral:rRNA from 1 species
AAACCACUGUUCCUGGGGACGAAGCACUGACGGUACCCAGGGAGGAAGGCCCGGCUAACUACGUGCCAGCAGCCGCGGUAAUACGUAGGGGUCGAGCGUUGUCCGGAGUUACUGGGCGUAAAGCGCGCGCAGGUGGCUCAUUACGCCCGGCGUGAAAGCCCCCGGCUCAACCGGGGAAGGUCGUCGGGUACGGGUGAGCUUGAGGGUAUCAGGGGCUGGUGGAAUUCCCGGUGUAGUGGUGAAAUGCGUAGAGAUCGGGAGGAACACCCGUGGCGAAGGCGGCCAGCUGGGAUACACCUGACACUGAGGCGCGAAGGCGUGGGGAGCGAACGGGAUUAGAUACCCCGGUAGUCCACGCAGUAAACGAUGCAGACUAGGCGUGGGGGGACUUGACCCCUUCCGUGCCGAAGCUAACGCAUGAAGUCUGCCGCCUGGGGAGUACGGCCGCAAGGCUAAAACUCAAAGGAAUUGACGGGGGCCCGCACAAGCGGCGGAGCGUGUUCUUUAAUUCGUCGCAACGCGAAGAACCUUACCAGGGUUUGACAUAUCGCUGCAUGCCCCGGAAACGGGGAGGCCUACGAGGGUGCGAUACAGGUGCUGCAUGGCUGUCGUCAGCUCGU